UUAAUAAAGAAAUGAAAAAUCAAGUAAAUAUUGAUCCAAGGUUUUGGGGUUUUGGAAUUGGGAUGGGAUCUUGAUUCUUGAAUUAAAAAGAAAAACAAAAGAUGCAAAAUUUUCAUUCAACCGAGAAGAAGUAGGGAGAUGCCCGCUAACAUAUUUGGCACGAAAUUCAAAACCCUCAAAAUCUUCCCCAAAAUUCAACCAAGCGCUCCUUUUAUCCCCAAUUUCUUGCCCCCAAAAACCAUUUAUGAGAUUUUUACAACUCUUUCUCAGAUUCAAUUGCAGUAGCAACAAAGCUCACUCCUUUCUUCACCCUAUGUUCAUCUACUGCUGCUUGCACAAUUCACUCAAUAGCCCAAAACUUUAACUAAUUUCGGCUAAAUCUUUCCUUCCACCUUGUAGGGUUUUCGGUUGUUUCUUGAUCUGUACCCGUGUUUCUAUAUACAUACAUAAACAGCGUCUGAAUUUCGACACGAAUCUACGCUUACUCAGGUUUUGAAUUUCCGACUUUUGUGGGGUUUAAUGGCUUCCGAUAUGGAAACCCUAGAGAGUGAAAAACAUGAAGAUGUUCCCGACGUCGAAAUGAAGGACAACGAGGAAUCCGAAAAGGAAGGCGAAGAAGAGCAAGAGACUAAAGAAAAAGACGAAGAGAUCGAGGACGAAGAAGAAGCUAAAGACAAAGAGAGCGAAGAUGAAGAAGAAUAAGAUAGCGCGAAAAAAGCCGAAGGCCGUUCGAAGAAAAAGAAGAUCGAUUCGAGUUCUAAAUCACCUGAUACGCCGACUGAGAGACCAACCAGGGAAAGGAAGACCGUCGAACACUAUACGACAAUCAUCAAUCUUUCUGUCACCAAAUUGAUUUCCUUACAACAGGUAUGUUACGAUGGAAAUCCCCUUUAUCUUUUAUUGUUGUUCUGAUUAGAAAUCGUGUAAGUUUUCUUACUCGCGUUUGUACGAAUGGAUACAAGGCCCCAGAUCUUAGCUCAAGGAAAUUCCGAACGAAAUUUGAAGCUUGUAACUUCUGAGAGAUAGGUUAGUUUGAUGUAUAGGUUAGAGUGAGUUCUUUCUAAGUUGUAAUUGUAUCCAAGAAUUCUUGACAUAAUAUGAGAGUUCUUUUUUUUAUUUUUGGGUUUAAUUUAUGUAUUUUUGACAUUAUGUUUGAUUCUUUUCUAAUAGAAACUGGUCAUGUUGUUAAA